CCGGAUUUAUUGGGUUUAAAGGGUGCGUAGGCGGAUUAAUAAGUCAGCGGUGAAACUCACAGGCUCAACCUGUGCCGUGCCGUUGAAACUGUUUAUCUUGAAUGCGGAUGCUGUGGGAGGAAUGUGUAGUGUAGCGGUGAAAUGCAUAGAUAUUACACAGAACACCGAUUGCGAAGGCAUCUCACAAAGCCGUGAUUGACGCUGAGGCACGAAAGUGUGGGGAUCAAACAGGAUUAGAUACCCUGGUAGUCCACUACUGUAAACGAUGAUAACUCGCUGCCGGCGAUAUAUAGCCGGUGGCCCAGCGAAAGCGAUAAGUUAUCCACCUGGGGAGUACGACCGCAAGGUUGAAACUCAAAGGAAUUGACGGGGGCCCGCACAAGCGGAGGAACAUGUGGUUUAAUUCGAUGAUACGCGAGGAACCUUAC
rnacentral:rRNA from 1 species